rnacentral:rRNA from 1 species
CCUACGGGAGGCAGCAGUGAGGAAUAUUGGUCAAUGGACGAGAGUCUGAACCAGCCAAGUAGCGUGAAGGAUGACUGCCCUAUUGGUUGUAAACUUCUUUUAUAUGGGAAUAAAAUGUUCCACGUGUGGGAUUUUGUAUGUACCAUAUGAAUAAGGAUCGGCUAACUCCGUGCCAGCAGCCGCGGUAAUACGGAGGAUCCGAGCGUUAUCCGGAUUUAUUGGGUUUAAAGGGAGCGUAGGUGGAUUGUUAAGUCAGUUGUGAAAGUUUGCGGCUCAACCGUAAAAUUGCAGUUGAAACUGGCAGUCUGGAGUACAGUAGAGGUGGGCGGAAGUCGUGGUGUAGCGGUGAAAUGCUUAGAUAGCACGAAGAACUCCGAUUGCGAAGGCAGCUCACUGGACUGCAACUGACACUGAGGCUCGAAAGUGUGGGUAUCAAACAGGAUUAGAUACCCUUGUAGUC